GGGGCUAUAAACUUAAUUGGUGGAGCGUUUGUUUUGCAAGCAAGACGUUAGCGGUUCAAAUCCGCUAAGCUCCA
rnacentral:tRNA from 1 species